UCUACAGGUUCGUUUAAGAGGAAUAAAUGUUAAAAUUGUUAAUAAAAAGACGUGAUACAUGGGACACAUCCCGAAAUGUUUCAGCGUCUCGUCUCGACUAUUUGAGACAGGAUGGGUAUUGGGGUCUUCAGGGUUGUUUUCAUGAUUCUAGCGAUAGUUCAAAAAUAAUUCUGCCUUGUCAAUUUAAGGUACACAAAUGAAAAUCCGACUAGUCACUUCUGUAACCUUUGAAAAUGGCCCUUGCGAGAGAACGAUGUGUUUCAAAAUUAAGUGCUAUGAAACUGAAGCAUUGGAGCGUGCGUCAGACGAUGUUAUUUAGGAUCCUGUGGGAGUUGGGUUGUAGCAUUCUCCCUCUGCUGCUCGUGCAGUUUGACUUGUCGGAGACAAGACCAGAUGCAAGAAAGGCAGCAAAGAAAGCACGGAUUUAAGCAGGUCAAUAACCGUCUAACGACGUGGGAGAGAGGAGACCGAAAGAUCUACCGGAGUGAGCGACAUGGUGAUGGUGUAGAGUGACGUGGUCGGUGACGGCUGGCAGCGCCGUCAUGCUGCAAUACUACAUCCAGUUGCCUGCUUCAAGUAUUAGAAAUAUUAAAUGAACGGUGUGUGUUAGACUCGUGAGCUGAUAGUGUAGUCGGUUUAUGAGCAGCAGCGUUUUAAGUCCCAGACUCCCUAAUUAUUGUUUGUUUUUAUUUUAUUUUU